rnacentral:misc_RNA from 1 species
AAGUCGUAACAAGGUUUCCGUAGGUGAACCUGCGGAAGGAUCAUUAACAAAAAAAUACAAAAAAAUAAAAAACACUAUUAACCCCACAUUUAGAUCUUUAAAUUUGGUGCCAUUAUUGACCCUAUUUUUUAUUUACUAAACGAAACUUAAAACAACAUAAAAAUUACAUACAAAACAAUUACAAAAUUAAACACUAAAUUUUAAUGUAUAAAAAUCAAAUAAUAAUAAGAAACAACUCUUAACAAUGGAUAUCUCGGCUCUCGU